AUCCAGCCAACGAGUCCCAGAUAGAACGAAACACAUGUCCUGAAU
rnacentral:hammerhead_ribozyme from 1 species